CUAAGGAAUAAAUUACGGAAUCUGCACAUGAUUCGAAACUUUGUUUAGUUUUGAGGGAUUUGUUUCCUCAAAACUUGUUCUUUGAAAACUAGAUAAUAUUUUAUUUCUUUGUUAAUUUUUAUAACCGAGAACACCGCGUUUUAAAGAGUUUAAAACAAGAAAUUAGUUCUUAAUCGCAAAACUCAUAACCGUUUAUCGCAAGAUAAAUAUUAUA
rnacentral:misc_RNA from 1 species